AAAAAUGUAUCUUCAUCACUAGUUUUUUUCUUGACACGGAUUUAAAAGAAAUUCCACUAGCUACUUGAUGAGCUCUCAAUUGGAUUAUCAAGACUGCCGGCCAUUGACUACACUAUUAGACAAAACAGGUAAACUAGGCAAAUCCUGGGCUCCGCAAAGUUGAGUUCUUGCCUUCUUGGUGGCGGGAUCAAUAAAGGCCUCUCUGUGGUCAUUAUCUUGAGCUAAAGCAACUCUCCACCAACGUAAGACCUGGUAAUAAUCUCUCUCAAUCAAAAUUCACAGCAAAAACAUAGAACAGCAGCAGCAAAGGUUUGACCUUCAACCAAAACCCAGAAACUAAAACAGCUUAAGCUGCAAAAAGACUACAAAUUCAACAGACUUGGAGGAAAAUCACCUGUACUAUGAGCUCUCUUUACACUCUGAAAACUCUCGACACUUGUUUCUCAAGC
rnacentral:lncRNA from 1 species